rnacentral:rRNA from 1 species
AGCGAACGUUAGCGGCGGGCCUAACACAUGCAAGUCGAACGCGAAAGGUCUUCGGACUGAUUAGAGUGGCGCACGGGUGAGUAACACGUAGGUAAUCUACCCUUUGGCGGGGGAUAACGUUCCGAAAGGAGCGCUAAUACCGCAUAAGACCACGGAGUCUCCGGACGCUGUGGGAAAAGGUGGCCUCUUCUUGAAAGCUAUCACCGGAGGAUGAGCCUGCGUCCCAUCAGCUAGUUGGUAAGGUAAUGGCUUACCAAGGCAAAGACGGGUAGCUGGUUUGAGAGAAUGAUCAGCCACACUGGCACUGGAACACGGGCCAGACUCCUACGGGAGGCAGCAGUGAGGAAUAUUGGGGCAAUGGGCGAAAGCCUGACCCAGCCACGCCGCGUGAGUGAUGAAGGCCCUCGGGUCGUAAAGCUCUGUGGAGAGGGACGAAAAACCUGGGGUCUAAUAGGCCCCGGACUUGACGGUACCGUCUUUAGCAAGCACCGGCUAACUCUGUGCCAGCAGCCGACGG